rnacentral:rRNA from 1 species
GUUCCAGACUCCUACGGGAGGCAGCAGUGGGGAAUAUUGCACAAUGGGGGGAACCCUGAUGCAGCGAUGCCGCGUGGAGGAAGAAGGUUUUCGGAUUGUAAACUCCUUUUAUCAGGGACGAUAAUGACGGUACCUGAAGAAAAAGCUCCGGCUAACUACGUGCCAGCAGCCGCGGUAAUACGUAGGGAGCGAGCGUUGUCCGGAAUUACUGGGUGUAAAGGGAGCGUAGGCGGGACGGCAAGUCAGAUGUGAAAACUGAGGGCUCAACCCUGGGACUGCAUUUGAAACUGCCAUACUGGAGUGCCGGAGAGGUAAGUGGAAUUCCUAGUGUAGCGGUGAAAUGCGUAGAUAUUAGGAGGAACACCAGUGGCGAAGGCGGCUUACUGGACGGUAACUGACGCUGAGGCUCGAAAGCGUGGGGAGCAAACAGGAUUAGAUACCCUUGUA